GUGGUAUCGAUUGUACAAAACCGACUGAGCUGUUGAGAGCUGCGCCAUCUAUUUUAGAAAGCAGUAACUUUUACUCAAAAGUUUAGUAUAUUAGGAAAUAUCAUUUGAAGUGUACCUGAAGGGCUUGAUUUCUAGAACUUAAUAAACAGGGACCUCAUAGGAAGGCAGCGUUAGAUUGAGCGAUCUGUGUUCAUAUCACCAACCAUGACAUCAAGUUGAACUUAAUCAUCAGAACCCAAAUCCACAUACCCAAUGUGUAGUUUUCUGUUUUGGUAUUGUAACAAGUCUCAUGAACUAGAUGCGGAUUCUACUCUUUGGACCUAUUUCAUUGUGUCUUGUGUACUUAACAUUUUGACUGCCGUGUCACCCGUAUUCGGGUGACGGCGAAUAUUCUGAUUAAGCCAUGUCAUCCGUAUUCGGGUGACAAUUUUUUUGAGUACUUACGAGGUAAAGUAAGUAUUGGACAAAAUGAUUGUUGAAAGAAAGAAACGAAAAUGAUUGUUGCCGACAGCUACAUUCAUUCCGUUCGCUAAACUGAAUUGUGCUUUCUUCGGUAUCAACUUUUCUUUCUUCCUAAACAACUAAUUCUUAUAAAAUAUGAUAAGUAGUAACUACACCAAAUUUUUUAUUACUGCAUUCAUUAGUAUUCGAAUCAGAAUCUGAAGAUGUAACUUCGUUUAUAAUUAUCUUUCUGAAAAAUCUCGACUGUUCCUUAUCGCUGCUAUUCAAAUUUUUGUAAGCCUCGCAAUAAGUUUUUUUUCUUCAGUGCUAUUUUUCUUUUAGACACGAUAAGAAGUCUUUAAGAAAAGUUGGGGCAACAAUUUUAAAACAACAACAACAAAAAAAAAAAAAAAAAAAAAAAAAAAAAAA